rnacentral:tRNA from 1 species
AAGAUUUAGUUAAACCAUAACGUUAGUUUGUCAAACUAAAAUUAUCUCAAAGAUAAUUUUUU